GAUGAAGAACGCAGCGAAAUGCGAUACGUAAUGUGAAUUGCAGAAUUCAGUGAAUCAUCGAAUCUUUGAACGCACAUUGCGCCCGCCAGCAUUCUGGCGGGCAUGCCUGUUCGAGCGUCAUUUCAACCCUCAAGCUCUGCUUGGUGUUGGGGCCCUACGGUUGACGUAGGCCCUUAAAGGUAGUGGCGGACCCUCUCGGAGCCUCCUUUGCGUAGUAACUAACGUCUCGCAUUGGGAUUCGGAGGGACUCUUGCCGUAAAACCCCCAAAUUUUCUAAUGGUUGACCUCGGAUCAGGUAGGAAUACCCGCUGAACUUAAGCAUAUCAAUAAGCGGAGGA
rnacentral:misc_RNA from 1 species